rnacentral:misc_RNA from 1 species
GGAAGUAAAGUCGUAACAAGGUUUCCGUAGGUGAACCUGCGGAAGGAUCAUUACAGAGUUCAUGCCCUCACGGGUAGAUCUCCCACCCUUGAAUAUUUAUACCUUAGUUGCUUUGGCAGGCCGUGGAAACACCAUGGGCUCCGGCUUAUGCGUGCCUGCCAGAGGAAACAAACUCUGUUUUUAGUGAUGUCUGAGUACUAUAUAAUAGUUAAAACUUUCAACAACGGAUCUCUUGGUUCUG